AUGGACACUUGACAACUUGGCAAGUUAACAAGUUCUCUUCAACUAUUGGUUUAAUCAACCAAACAGUUUCAGAUCAAAGAAUCCACAACAUGGAAUAGAGCUUCGUCUGUUUAGUCCAACUGUUCCCAUUGAAUGCUGUCUUUCUUCCAUAAUUUUGUUUCCAGUCAUUAGUCACCUAGCUUAUGCUUGAACAUUCUCAGUUCUGAGGAUCUCCAUUGGCAGCUUAUUCUGUUUUUGGAGAGCUCUGAUUCUCAGAAGUCCUUACAAUUACUGUGCUCGAAUUAUUGUCCUUCUAGCCCAUGUCUAGGUUCUGUCUUUAAUGGUCUGGCUCUAAUCCUAUACAGAAGUGUAAUUGUUUUGAAAAGGUUGCUAUGUCCAUUUGAAACGUACUUUCUCUAGGAUAAAUAUUCCUAAUUCCUUUAACUAUUCCUUACAUGAUAUAAUUCAGAAGCCCAUAGUCUUCUCACUUACUCUCUUUCUGGAAUAUAUGCCUGGUUGUAUCUGAUCCUUUAAUAGGUGAUUUUGAGGGUGAAAUACAGUGUUAUAUCAGA